GGGUGGAGCAGUCCUUUCAGGAACCAAAGCCACAUGGGACACAGUGCCACCAAUUGGUCAUGGGUUGUGUUUGAUGUUGUAAAGACAGCGUGUGUCAGAGUGUGUCUCCUUGUUAUUUCCUGGAGGCUGUGGGACAGAACGUCCACCACGCAAUGCCCCCGACUGAGGAGCAAUACUGCACUGAAUCAAAGAUGUUGCUGUAUUUCAAAGGCCAAUUCAGACGAGAUUAAAAACGCCCUGCACCACAUUUGCUAGCCAUCCAAAGCUGGAUAUUACAAGUGCAAAAUAUGCGCUGUAUUGUUGGUUUUGAUACAAUGCUCCAGAGUUUUCAAAUAAAUAAA